rnacentral:rRNA from 1 species
UACGUAGGGGGCAAGCGUUAUCCGGAUUUACUGGGUGUAAAGGGAGCGUAGGUGGCAGGGCAAGUCAGAUGUGAAAACCCGGGGCUCAACUCAGGGAGUGCAUUUGAAACUGUCCAGCUAGAGUGCAGGAGAGGUAAGCGGAAUUCCUAGUGUAGCGGUGAAAUGCAUAGAUAUUAGGAGGAACACCAGUGGCGAAGGCGGCCUGCUGGACCGUGACUGACGUUGAGGCUCGAAAGCGUGGGGAGCAAACAGG